UACGUAGGGCGCAAGCGUUGUCCGGAAUUAUUGGGCGUAAAGAGCUCGUAGGCGGCUUGUCACGUCGGAUGUGAAAGCCCGGGGCUUAACUCCGGGUCUGCAUUCGAUACGGGCUAGCUAGAGUGUGGUAGGGGAGAUCGGAAUUCCUGGUGUAGCGGUGAAAUGCGCAGAUAUCAGGAGGAACACCGGUGGCGAAGGCGGAUCUCUGGGCCAUUACUGACGCUGAGGCGCGACAGCGUGGGGAGCAAACAGG
rnacentral:rRNA from 1 species